UACAGAGGUGGGCAAGCGUUGUUCGGAAUUACUGGGCGUAAAGGGCGCGUAGGCGGCCUUCUAAGUCAGACGUGAAAUCCCCAGGCUUAACUUGGGAACUGCGUCUGAUACUGGGAGGCUUGAGUGCGGGAGAGGGAUGUGGAAUUCCAGGUGUAGCGGUGAAAUGCGUAGAUAUCUGGAGGAAUACCGGUGGCGAAGGCGGCAUCCUGGACCGGCAUUGACGCGUGAGGCG
rnacentral:rRNA from 1 species